AUUACCGCGGCUGCUGGCGGAGGCAGCAGUGGGGAAUAUUGCACAAUGGGCGAAAGCCUGAUGCAGCAACGCCGCGUGAGGGAUGACGGCCUUCGGGUUGUAAACCUCUUUUAGUAGGGAAGAAGCGUAAGUGACGGUACCUGCAGAAAAAGCACAGCAGCCGCGGUAAUA
rnacentral:rRNA from 1 species